rnacentral:rRNA from 1 species
UACGUAGGGACCUAGCGUUGUCCGGAAUUAUUGGGCGUAAAGCGCGUGUAGGCGGCUUGCCAAGUCCGGUGUGAAAUGUCGGGGCUCAACCCCGGAACUGCACUGGAAACUGGCUAGCUAGAGUCCGGAAGAGGGGACUGGAAUUCCUGGUGUAGCGGUGAAAUGCGCAGAUAUCAGGAAGAACACCCGUGGCGAAGGCGGGUCCCUGGGACGGUACUGACGCUGAGACGCGAAAGCGUGGGGAGCAAACAGG